rnacentral:rRNA from 1 species
GACGAACGCUGGCGGCGUGCUUAACACAUGCAAGUCGAACGGAAAGGCCCUGCUUUUGUGGGGUGCUCGAGUGGCGAACGGGUGAGUAACACGUGAGUAACCUGCCCUUGACUUUGGGAUAACUUCAGGAAACUGGGGCUAAUACCGGAUAGGAGCUCCUGCUGCAUGGUGGGGGUUGGAAAGUUUCGGCGGUUGGGGAUGGACUCGCGGCUUAUCAGCUUGUUGGUGGGGUAGUGGCUUACCAAGGCUUUGACGGGUAGCCGGCCUGAGAGGGUGACCGGCCACAUAGGGACUGAGAUACGGCCCCGACUCCUACGGGAGGCAGAGGUGGGGAAUAUUGCACAAUGGGGGGAAGCCUGAUGCAGCAACGCCGCGUGCGGGAUAAGGGCCUUCUGGUUGUAAACCCCGUUCGCCUGUGAGGAGGAGUGUGUGACAGUAAUAGGUAAAGAAGCACCGGCUAACUACGUG